UACGUAGGUGGCAAGCGUUGUCCGGAUUUACUGGGCGUAAAGAGCGCGCAGGCGGUCGGAUAAGUCGAGUGUGAAAGCCCCCGGCUCAACUGGGGAGGGUCAUUCGAUACUGAUCGACUCGAAGGCAGGAGAGGGUAGUGGAAUUCCCGGUGUAGUGGUGAAAUGCGUAGAUAUCGGGAGGAACACCAGUGGCGAAGGCGACUACCUGGCCUGUUCUUGACGCUGAGGCGCGAAAGCUAGGGGAGCAAACGGG
rnacentral:rRNA from 1 species